UACAGAGGGUGCAAGCGUUAAUCGGAAUUACUGGGCGUAAAGCGUGCGUAGACGGUUAUGUAAGUCAGGUGUGAAAGCCCCGGGCUCAACCUGGGAAUGGCAUUUGAUACGGGCGGGCUUGAAUCCAAGAGAGGGUGGUGGAAUUCCCAGUGUAGAGGUGAAAUUCGUAGAUAUUGGGAAGAACACCAGUGGCGAAGGCGGCCACCUGGCUUGGUAUUGACGCUGAGGCGCGAAAGCGUGGGGAGCAAACAGG
rnacentral:rRNA from 1 species